rnacentral:rRNA from 1 species
UACAGAGGGUGCGAGCGUUAAUCGGAAUUACUGGGCGUAAAGGGCGCGUAGGCGGAUUAUUAAGUUAGAUGUGAAAUCCCUGGGCUUAACCUAGGAACUGCAUCUAAAUACUGGUAGUCUAGAGUGGCGGUAGAGGAUAGUGGAAUUUCCGGUGUAGCGGUGAAAUGCGUAGAUAUCGGAAGGAAGACCAGUGGCGAAGGCGGGUCUCUGGACAGUUCCUGAGCGCUGAGGCACGAAGGUCAGGGGAGCAAACGGG